GCCGAGGUGGUGGAAUUGGUAGACACGCUAGCUUGAGGGGCUAGUGGAAGUUAAUUCCGUGGGGGUUCGAGUCCCCCCCUCGGCA
rfam:Desulfovibrio sp. K3S genome assembly, contig: Ga0139011_101